rfam:Picea glauca, whole genome shotgun sequence.
AUAUGCCUACAAUAUAGCGUUAAUGCACCAGAUUCCAUUAGAACUCCGCAGUUAAGUGCGCUCAGGCUAGAGUAGUAUUGUGAUGGAUGACCAAUUAGGAAGUCCUAGUAUUUUACAUGCC